GCAGGGGCUCAGGGAUCUGUAUCAGCCCUGUGUGCAGUGAUCACUAUGGUGUCCCACAGCUGCUGGCUGCCUCUACUCAUGCUCUGGCUUCCCGGUUCCUAUGGGCAGAUUGUGCUGACUCAGUCCCCAGAUUAUGUCUCUGUGUCACCGGGAGAAACUGUCACCUUCACAUGUAAAGCCAGUAGCGACAUUUAUAGGUACAUAGCCUGGUACCAACAGAAAUCAGGGCAGGCACCAAAGCUGCUGAUCUAUGGGGCAAGUACCCGACACACAGGGACCCCAGAGCGGAUCAGCGGCAGCGGUUCUGGAACUGAUUUCACCCUUACAAUCAGCAGAAUGGAAGCAGAAGAUGCAGCAGAUUAUUACUGCUAUCAGUAUAGGAGCUACCCACUCACACAGUGAUACAGAGCUGAACAAAAACCUUCCUCCUUUAGAAACAUCUGUUCAUACUGAACAGAAUCACAGAAUUUAAACAGAGGAAGG